UACGUAGGCAGCGAGCGUUGUUCGGAGUUACUGGGCGUAAAGGGUGUGUAGGCGGUUGUUUAAGUUUGGGGUGAAAUCUCCCGGCUCAACUGGGAGGGUGCGCCGAAUACUGAAUGACUUCGAGUGCGGGAGAGGAGAGUGGAAUUCCUGGUGUAGCGGUGAAAUGCGUAGAUAUCAGGAGGAAUACCGGUGGUGUAGACGGCUCUCUGGACCGUAACUGACGCUGAGACACGAAAGCGUGGGUAGCAAACAGG
rnacentral:rRNA from 1 species